rnacentral:rRNA from 1 species
CAUGCGAGUCGAACGAAGUAGCAGUACUUAGUGGCAGACGGGUGAGUAACAUGUGGGUAUCUGCCCUUUGGCCUGGAAUAACRCGAGGAAACUUGUGCUAAUACCAGAUAAGUCUUUACGGAGAAAGCUUUAUGCACCAUUGGAUGAGCCCGCACUUGAUUAGUUUGUUGGUGGGGUAAUGGCCUACCAAGACUUUGAUCAAUAGCUGAUUUGAGAGGAUGAUCAGCCACAUUGGGACUGAGACACGGCCCAAACUCCUACGGGAGGCAGCAGUGGGGAAUCUUGCACAAUGGAGGAAACUCUGAUGCAGCGAUGCCGCGUGAGUGAAGAAGGCCCUUGGGUUGUAAAGCUCUUUCGUCGGGGAAGAAAAUGACUGUACCCGAAUAAGAAGGUCCGGCUAACUUCGUGCCAGCAGCCGCGGUAAUACGAAGGGACCUAGCGUAGUUCGGAAUUACUGGGCUUAAAGAGUUCGUAGGUUGUUGAAAAAGUUGGUGGUGAAAUCCCAGAGCUUAAUUCUGGAACUGCCAUCAAAACUUUUCAGCUAGAGUAUGAUAGAGGAAAGCAGAAUUUCUAGUGUAGAGGUGAAAUUCGUAGAUAUUA